rnacentral:rRNA from 1 species
AACGAACGCUGGCGGCGGGCCUAACACAUGCAAGUCGAGCGAAGCCUUCGGGCUUAGCGGCGGACGGGUGAGUAACGCGUGGGAACGUGCACUUUGCUACGGAAUAGCCCCGGGAAACUGGGAGUAAUACCGUAUGUGCCCUUCGGGGGAAAGAUUUAUCGGCAAAGGAUCGGCCCGCGGUGGAUUAGGUAGUUGGUGGGGUAAUGGCCUACCAAGCAGACGAUCCAUAGCUGGUUUGAGAGGAUGAUCAGCCACACUGGGACUGAGACACGGCCCAGACUCCUACGGGGGGCAGCAGUGGGGAAUCUUAGACAAUGGGCGCAAGCCUGAUCUAGCCAUGCCGCGUGAUCGAUGAAGGCCUUAGGGUUGUAAAGAUCUUUCAGGUGGGAAGAUAAUGACUGUACCACCAGAAGAAGCCCCGGCUAACUCCGUGCCAGCAGCCGCCGUAAAAC